UACAGAGGGUGCGAGCGUUAAUCGGAAUUACUGGGCGUAAAGCGCGCGUAGGCGGCUCUGCAAGUCGGGUGUGAAAGCCCAGGGCUCAACCUUGGAACUGCCUUUGAUACUGACUGUCUUGAGUUCGGGAGAGGUGAGUGGAAUGCCGAGUGUAGAGGUGAAAUUCGUAGAUAUUCGGCGGAACACCAGUGGCGAAGGCGACUCACUGGCCCGAUACUGACGCUGAGGUGCGAAAGCGUGGGGAGCAAACAGG
rnacentral:rRNA from 1 species